rnacentral:misc_RNA from 1 species
AUGGGUAUCAUAUCAGUUGCCCACUAGCUAUCAGCUCUAGUUUUUUAAGCUUGCCAAAUACUAUAAUAUAUCAGCUAUCAGUACCCAACAGGUAAACCAAAUACCCCCUUAGUCUAUGGUGCCCACACUAAGUUUUUCUUGAUUUAAUUUCAUUAAUAAAAUUUUACUUAUAAAGAAAAUAAUUAUUCCAUUUAGAUAUCAAAUACCAGAAAAUUAAAUGCAAUUUUUCAAGAGCAUUCUCAAUGGUUUGUCUGUGAAGGUGCCUAAAAGUUUGGUUACAAAUGAAAGAUGCACAUGGAGUUCAGAACUCUCAACAGUAUAAAGUUCAAUUCCAA